GAAACCCAGUGCAAUUCGUUGCACUAUCGUUAACUGAAUACAUAGGUUAACGAGGCGAACCGGGGGAACUGAAACAUCUAAGUACCCCGAGGAAAAGAAAUCAACCGAGAUUCCCCCAGUAGCGGCGAGCGAACGGGGAGCAGCCCGGAGUCUGAAUCAGCUUGUGUGUUAGUGGAAGCGUCUGGAAAGUCGCAGGGUACAGG
rnacentral:rRNA from 1 species